UCUCGUUUUAAGAGAUAUAUUUAUAUUUACCCUCUUAGUGGUUACUAGCUAUUCAAGAUGGUUUUGAAUAAAAGGAACGAAUAAUCCCAUACUCAAAGUAACCUGAAUUAAAACUUUGACUAGCAACAAAAUUCAAUUCUUUUAGAAAAAGUUUUAAAUUUUUUUUAUCGUUUUCUUCUGGGUUAUCUCUUCUGGGUGGAUAACGUAGAGGUUGGGAAUUUUUCAUUGCGGAUGAAGUUUUCAACACCGGUAGUGGGAUCAACCUCAUUGUUGUGUUGUUUUUAGAUUGUGUAAGAUUGCACAAUACGUUGGUUUGGAAACACGAGGCUACUGGGGAGUACUCUGUGAAGAGUGGGUAUCGAGCUUUAAUUACAGACCAAUUACAGAGCAACGACUACAUCUUUCUUACAGCUAAUAAUUACAGAGAUUUCUACAAUUUACCAUGUGCUAUGCAUAUUCCAGCUAUGCCUUAUUCUACCAACCUUUUUCAAAGAAGAUUAAAUGUUGAUGUAGUAUGCCCAUUUUGUAAGGAAGCUCCUGAGGAUUCUGACCAUUUGAUGUGGUCUUGUGGUAUUCUACAGCAGCUAUGGGCCUCUCUUAACAUCAUGAUUGCUCCGAGUGGGAUUACUUUGAAUUAUAAAGAUCAGUUUGUUAACACUUUUCAUGCAACAGAUGAAAGCAAUAGACAGGUUUAAUUAUUUCUUUAUAGGCUUUAUAGCAUAGAAAAAUGAAUUGAUUCAUGAAGGUCUUAAGUUCUCCAUGCAAGAUCUUCUGGGUUUUAUUCGAGGUUAUAGUCAAGAGAUCUCUUCGUGUCAAGUGAAUUUGAAGUCAUACUCUAAAUUUAUGGUAAAGGAUUUGUGGUGUCCCCCUAAUAUUGGUAUUAUUAAAUUAAAUUUUGAUGCUUCAUUUCAAAGAGAAUCUAGAACUUCUUUUGCAGCAGUUUUAGCUUGAAAUAAUAAAGGGAAAAUUAUGGGUGAGUGUACUUACCCUUCUGGGGAUGUGGUCGAUGUUUUUGUUGCUGAAGCUAGGGUGUGUAAAAGGGUUAUGCUUUUUACGUCUGAAAUAGGUUUUAAGAGGUUAUUGCUGGAAGGGGACUCUCUGUCGAUAUUCAAAAAGCUCAACUUAGAAGGGGAGAAUAGAUCUAUUAUUAGACCGAUUAUUUAUAAUAUUCGUAUACUUGAACGACAUUUUGAAGAAGUUUCUUACUGUUUUGUCCCAAGAGCAGUCAAUAGGGCCACUCAUACUUUGGCAUUAGAAGGAUGCCGACGACAACUCUCUUGUUUCUAGGUUAAUGAAGCUCCAGAUUCGGUGGGGAAGGUGGUGGCUGAGGAUUGGACGGCUUGGAUUCAAAAUUAUUGAGAUGGUUUUGUACGCUUUGAAGAUGGAGAAGGUUCUGUCGAAUAUCUAUGGCUGGGUUUCAAAGUUUUUUUUCUUUUCCUUUUUCGGCUUAACUGAGGAUCUGUUCUGGGGAAGUUGAAUUUUUGGCUGAUAACUUUCUGAAGACUUUUUGUAUUUGGUGAGGGGUAGUUUUCGUGCGUUAGUGGUUUUGUUGUUUUCCUGUGUGCUUUGUGUGCUGUUUAGGUUUCUUUUUCUACUUUUCUGUCUUUUCAUUUCUCUGUUGUUUAGAUUUUGUUCAUCCACUUCGAGCCUAGUAAUAUUAAUGAAUAUCAGCUUUUGUUGCAAAAAAUAAAUAAAUAAAUAAAUUACAUUGAUUUUGAA